UGACCCAGGAAGACAGAGCUGGGAGCAGGCGCGUGAGGGGGAGCCCACAGCCCAGACUCUGCCCUCUUCCUUGUCCCUGGCCCCACCCAUUUCCCCCUCCAGUCCUCUGCCAUCGUGCUGAGUUUCGAGAGUUAGAGCUUGGGUGGAGAGCCGUUGGCCAAGCCUGUAGAAAUCCUGGGACCUCGGAAAAAUCAGCGGGUCCAAAGGAAAUUGGGGCUGCUUGCGGAAAAGUAGCAGAGCCGGUUGUCCUGACAAGGCAACCCUACCCCAGGGACUUCCACUGGAGUGGUCUUGAGAGCAGCAUUUGGAAAGACAACAGACCUGUUACUCCUGGGGGAAGGGAAGGAAGGAGGAUGUUGGAGGUGAAGGAUCUUAGGAGGGGAGUUAAACUGCUGGAAAGGAUGCUCCCUGAAGACAGAGGCAGCUGCUGUCCCUGCUGAAAUGUGCUGCUUGUCCAUUUUUAGUGUGGACUGGAGCUGAGAGAGGAGCAUCCUGAUUUGCUUUCCUGCUUAAAUUUCUUCGCCUGGGAUGAUGAGCAUCACAUACAUAGUUUAUAAAAUCAAAGACUAAUUAUCUUCCAGGUGUUUUGGCUCAGAGGGAGUCUGUGAGGAAAACAUGAUGUGCGUCACUCUGACACGGUCCCUAAGAGGGAGAUGCGAAGGCCUGGCUCCCCUGGCCACAGCCUACCACCCUGGCCUGGGCUCCGGAUUCAGAGGCACCCAGGGGAAUCUAAAUUCCACCUUGCAUUUGACCUGUAGACCACACUGCCUGCGGGAAGUUGGUGGCGGGCAUGGGUGCUGAGGGGUCAGGAGUGGAGAGACCAAGGGCCCCAAGAGGAGCGGGCAGCAGAACAUGGCCCUGGCCCAUCCCCUCACCCUGCUUUCUGGAUUCCGUCCCCUCCUGUCUGCAGUCAUACUUUCACUUCACCAGUACUGAUAGAGUACCUACUGUGUGCCUGGCAUGUGGGUAACAGCCAGGGUGCCCUCUUGGGAGCCUGCACCACAAUGACCUCA